rnacentral:rRNA from 1 species
CAAUAGCGUAUAUUAAAGUUGUUGCGGUUAAAAAGCUCGUAGUUGGAUUUCUGCCGAGGACGACCGGUCCGCCCUCUGGGUGAGUAUCUGGCUCGGCCUGGGCAUCUUCUUGGAGAACGUAGCUGCACUUGACUGUGUGGUGCGGUAUCCAGGACUUUUACUUUGAGGAAAUUAGAGUGUUUCAAGCAGGCUUACGCCUUGAAUACAUUAGCAUGGAAUAAUAAGAUAGGACCUCGGUUCUAUUUUGUUGGUUUCUAGAGCUGAGGUAAUGAUUAAUAGGGAUAGUUGGGGGCAUUCGUAUAUAACUGUCAGGGGUGAAAUUCUUGGAUUUGUUAAAGACGGACUACUGCGAAAGCAUUUGCCAAGGAUGUUUNCAUUG